rnacentral:rRNA from 1 species
AAUCAACGCUGGCGGCGUGCCUAACACAUGCAAGUCGAACGCGAAAGCCCCUUCGGGGGGUAAGUAGAGUGGCGUCCGGGUGAGUAACACGUAGGUAAUCUACCUUCGGGUGGGGAAUAACCAGUCGAAAGAUUGGCUAAUACCGCAUAAUGCAGCGGCACCUAAUGGUGAUUAGUUGUUAAAGCGGGGGAUCGUAAGACCUCGCGCCUGAAGAGGAGCCUGCGGCAGAUUAGCUAGUUGGGAGU